rnacentral:rRNA from 1 species
GGGGAGGGUUAUCUGUCCUCUGGGGGAUCGUCUUUCUGUAUUAUCGUGGUGGGACCUCGGAGUUCAGAGUAUAGCCGUGGGGAUUCAACCUAAGGCUCGUCCGGGUUCGGUUGUGCCAGUCAGAUCACUCCAAACUGCCCUCGCAUAAAUUCCGGUUUUUCUGCCUCUUCCCCAGAGCUGGAUUUCCGGUGGCUUGCGGCGGGAUCGUCUGAGCCGUCCGACGACGCACCCUCUGACCCACUCUGGUGGGUCAUGCUGUGUCGGAACACUCUUACGGCAGCCAUAGGCGCAUUUCCCCAACACGGCCCCCUAGUAGUACGCCGCGACCGGUUGGGAGAUUCAUUCAAGGGCGGCGUGGCGAGACAAAAUUUGGGGAAGGUGCCCGGUCUCACGGUCGUCGCAGCGUGAGGGUUUGGCCUCCGUGUCACUCUCCACUCGCUCGCCGUCGACACGUCGGGUACUUGUUGCCCGACACGGGAUUCCGUGGUUUUACAUCCCCGUCUCGACCUGUUGCUCGUUCCCUCGCCCGACCGAGGCCGAACACAAGCCUUUAAGUCAAAAUCCGCUCUGCGAGCGGUGAGAGACCUCGUCUUUCAACAAGCCCGUGUGUCGCACCUUGCGCGUCAAAUUCCUUUGCCAAACUUUCCUCCGGCCGUAUUGCACGACCCCUCCCGCAUGUGUUCCACAUCGGGUGUGAGAAGGAGGUGCCUGGUAGGUUCAGCGUGCACGCGCGCGUGGGUCCGCCACCGCGCCCGUUCGCCGAUCGUUGUGCCGUGGGUGUCUGUUGCGGUUUCAGCCGGGCUUGCCGUUUCCUCUGUGUCACGUGCGAGUCUUAGGCGCCGCCUGCCCCUCGUGCCCGGUCUUGCGUCGGGUGCCGGCUCCCGCCACGGUGCACGGAGGUCUGCGGCGAGUAGGUCGACAAUUUACCUGUUGAG